CGAAGACUAUCAAACUCCGAAUGCCGUCAUCUUAUACUUGGGAGUCAGACUGUGGGUGAUAAGAUUCAUAGUCGAAAGGGCAACAGCCCAGAUCGUCAGCUAAGGUCCCUAAAUGUAAGUUAAGUGGGAAAGGAUGUGGGAUUGCACAGACAACCAGGAUGUUGGCUUAGAAGCAGCCACUCAUUCAAAGAGUGCGUAAUAGCUCACUGGUCGAGUGAUCCUGCGCCGAAGAUUUCCGGGGCUAAAACUUACUACCGAAGCUACGGCAUCAGUAAUGAUGGG
rnacentral:rRNA from 1 species